AUAAAAUCGCUCGCUUGCUGUCUUCCGUCGCUCGUGGGUCCCAAAGCCCCCUCCACUCCGCUUGGCCGAGAAACGCCGUCAUAGUAAUUGAUUGAGAUGAUAGCAUCACGCCAACCUCAACUAAUCCAUCAUUUCGACGACGGGGCAGCUGGGAGCGUGCGGUUUGCGAGGGCGCUUGCGAUGAUGAUCUCCACACUCUGGAAAAGAGCAAGAACGAGAGAGAGAGGAAGCGAGGGAAUCACGGGUACCCGCGAGCUCGUAAGCUGCUGCUAGAGGGAGCCACCAGCUCACCCACCAGUCUCCGAGCAGCGUUGUAAACGGAUGAUGGCUGGCUCCCUCCUUUUCCAAUGGGGCCUUGCUCUCUUAUUGUGUCCCCUUCCCGUCACAUCCCUUCUUACCUGUUCCAUCAAGAAUAAUAUUAUUGUUAAUAUUUAGUAAUAGUGACGAAGGUUAUGCGAGUCGA